rnacentral:rRNA from 1 species
GAUGAACGUUGGCGGCGUGCCUAAUACAUGCAAGUCGAACGAAGACUGUAGUAAUACUGUCUUAGUGGCGAACGGGUGAGUAACGCGUGGGUGACCUGCCCCGAAGUGUGGGAUAACAGUCCGAAAGGAUUGCUAAUACUGCAUAAUAUCCAAGAGAUUAGACGCUUUCGGAUUAAAGGAGUAAUUCGCUUCGGGAGGGGCCCGCGUCCCAUCAGCUAGUUGGUAAGGUAAUGGCUUACCAAGGCGAUGACGGGUAGGGGACCUGAGAGGGUGGCCCCCCAAAUGGAACUGAAACACGGUCCAUACACCUACGGGUGGCAGCAGUAGGGAAUAUUAGAAAUGGGCGGAAGCCUGAUCUAGCAACACCGCGUGUGCGAUGAAGGCCUUCGGGUCGUAAAGCACUUUUUGGAGGGAAUAGGAAGGAAGGUGCCUCCAGAAUAAGUCUCGGCUAACUACGUG